rnacentral:rRNA from 1 species
GACGAACGCUGGCGGCGUGCUUAACACAUGCAAGUCGAACGAGAGCGUAGAGAAAGCUUGCUUUAUCUACAAUCUAGUGGCAAACGGGUGAGUAACGCGUAAACAACCUGCCCUACGGAUGGGGACAACAGCUGGAAACGGCUGCUAAUACCGAAUACGUUCCGAAAGUCGCAUGACUAUCGGAAGAAAGGAUGGCCUCUAUUUAUAAGCUAUCGCCGGAGGAGGGGUUUGCGUCUGAUUAGCUAGUUGGAGGGGUAACGGCCCACUAAGGCGACGAUCAGUAGCCGGUCUGAGAGGAUGAACGGCCACAUUGGAACUGAGACACGGUCCAGACUCCUACGGGAGGCAGCAGUGGGGAAUCUUCCGCAAUGGGCGAAAGCCUGACGGAGCAACGCCGCGUGAGGGAAGACGGCCUUCGGGUUGUAAAGCUCUGUUAUACGGGACGAAUAAUCUUGUGGUUAAUACCCAUGAGAAGUGACGGUACCGUAAGAGAAAGCCACGGCUAACUACGUG